rnacentral:rRNA from 1 species
ACGCUCGACACCUACGGGAGGCAGCAGUGGGGAAUAUUGCACAAUGGGGGAAACCCUGAUGCAGCGACGCCGCGUGAGCGAAGAAGUAUUUCGGUAUGUAAAGCUCUAUCAGCAGGGAAGAUAAUGACGGUACCUGACUAAGAAGCUCCGGCUAAAUACGUGCCGGCAGCCGCGGUAAUCUGAGCGGGCUGGCAAGGC